ensembl:miRNA Mir466i microRNA 466i
AGAGAUCAUGUCAGUGAACUGCCACAUUUUUGAUAUAUAUUAUGUAUGUAUGUGUGUGUAUAUAUAUAUAUGUAUAUAUAUAUACACACACACAUACACACUACAUGUAUGCAACAUAUAUAC